rnacentral:tRNA from 1 species
GGGCGAGCUGGGCAGUGGGAGAGCCCAGGGGUCUGUAAAACCCCCGCUUCGGCUGCGGCGGUUCGAAUAUCCGCCCUCGCCCA